rnacentral:rRNA from 1 species
AACGAACGCUGGCGGCAUGCCUAACACAUGCAAGUCGAACGAGACCUUCGGGGCUAGUGGCGCACGGGUGCGUAACGCGUGGGAACCUGCCCUUAGGUUCGGAAUAACUCCCCGAAAGGGGUGCUAAUACCGGAUAAUGUCUUCGGACCAAAGAUUUAUCGCCGUUGGAUGGGCACGCGUUGGAUUAGCUAGUUGGUAGGGUAAAAGCCUACCAAGGCGACGAUUCAUAGCUGGUCUGAGAGGAUGAUCAGCCACACUGGGACUGAGACACGGCCCAGACUCCUACGGGAAGCAGCAGUGGGGAAUAUUGGACAGUGGGCGAAAGCAUGAUCCAGCAAUGCCGCGUGAGUGAUGAAGGCCUUAGGGUUGUAAAGCUCUUUUACCCGGGAUGAUAAUGACAGUACCGGGAGAAUAAGCUCCGGCUAACUCCGUG